rnacentral:rRNA from 1 species
GUGGGGAAUCUUAGACAAUGGGCGCAAGCCUGAUCUAGCCAUGCCGCGUGAGCGAUGAAGGCCUUAGGGUUGUAAAGCUCUUUCGUGGGGGAAGAUAAUGACUGUACCCCAAGAAGAAGCCCCGGCUAACUCCGUGCCAGCAGCCGCGGUAAUACGGAGGGGACUAGCGUUGUUCGGAAUUACUGGGCGUAAAGCGCACGUAGGCGGACUGGAAAGUCAGGGGUGAAAUCCCGGGGCUUAACCCCGGAACUGCCUUUGAAACUCCCAGUCUUGAGUUCGAGAGAGGUGAGUGGAAUUCCGAGUGUAGAGGUGAAAUUCGUAGAUAUUCGGAGGAACACCAGUGGCGAAGGCGGCUCACUGGCUCGAUACUGACGCUGAGGUGCGAAAGCGUGGGGAGCAAACAGGAUUAGAUACCCGAGUAGUCC